UAUGCCUUGCACUACUUUGAAUACAAAUUAUUUUUACUUUAUUAACUGUUCAAUAAAGAUUUUAAAAUAAAUCUGCAGAGCACACGUCUGACUCCAG